AAUGAAGCACUGCUGUGGAAAGA
rnacentral:piRNA from 1 species